AUUUUGAGUUCUCACCAGAAGUGAUUUGCAGUUCUUGUUUAAAAACAAAACAACUUCUGUCCUGGAAUCCCAGCACGCAACAGGCGACUUAGACGGUCAAGAGCUCAAAGCCAUCUUCCUCCACAAAGGACAUUUGAGGUUGCGAACUACUGCACUGAUGAGGGACAUUCACAGGAGAAAAACACCCAGAUAACUAGAACUCAGACAAGAGAAGAACCAAAAGAACUCCGGCAUAUACAGGGCACCCGAUGUGUCAUCCUUAAAAUGUAAGGAGCGAUUUUCUAGUUUCUUCUACAAUUUCUGUUUAUACAUAGUCUCGAUUUCCGUACCAACUUUAUUACUCUUGUAAACGAAACUUAUUUUCUGCCUUUCUCAUGUCAUGAUCCUUUAGUAUCAGUAAAUAUUUAAUUUUCUAAAUCA